CAGUAGGAUAAGCUAAGCACACUGUUGGUUAUGUGUGCCCAAGCAUUGAGGCAGUCAAAGUAGGCAAAUCCGCUUUGAUAAUGCUGGGAUGUGAUGGGGAGCGAAAUUUAGUAGCGAAGUAGCUGAUUUCACACUGUCAAGAAAAGUCUCUAUCGAGGUUAAAGGUACCCGUACCGCAAACCGACACAGGUGGGUGAGGAGAGUAUCCUAAGGCCAGCGAGAGAACUGUUGUUAAGGAACUCGGCAAAAUGACCCCGUAACUUAGGGAUAAGGGGUGCCACCAUCAGGUGGCCGCAGAGAAUAGGCCCAAGCGACUGUUUACCAAAAACAUAGGUUUCUGCUAAGUCGCAAGACGAUGUAUAGGAGCUGACGCCUGCCCGGUGCUGGAAGGUUAAGGGGAUCUGUUAGAGCAAUCGAAGCAGUGAACUUAAGCCCCAGUAAACGGCGGCCGUAACUAUAACGGUCCUAAGGUAGCGAAAUUCCUUGUCGGGUAAGUUCCGACCCGCACGAAAGGCGUAACGAUUUGGGCACUGUCUCAACAACAGACUCGGUGAAAUUGUAAUUCCGGUGAAGAUGCCGGAUACCUGCGACAGGACGGAAAGACCCCAUGGAGCUUUACUGUAGCUUGACAUUGGGUCUUGGUACUACAUGUACAGGAUAGGUGGGAGGCUUUGAAACCAGGACGCCAGUUUUGGCGGAGCCAUCCUUGGGAUACCACCCUUGUAGUACUGGGACUCUAACCAUAGGCCAUGAAUCUGGUCUUGGGACACUGUCAGGUGGGCAGUUUGACUGGGGCGGUCGCCUCCCAAAAGGUAACGGAGGCGCUCAAAGGUUCUCUCAGUACGGUCGGAAAUCGUACGUAGAGUGUAAAGGCAAAAGAGAGCUUGAUUGCAAGACAUACAGGUCGAGCAAGGAUGAAAAUCGGACUUAGUGAUCCGGUGGUUCUGCGUGGAAGGGCCAUCGCUCAACGGAUAAAAGCUACCCUGGGGAUAACAGGCUUAUCUCCCCCAAGAGUCCACAUCGACGGGGAGGUUUGGCACCUCGAUGUCGGCUCAUCACAUCCUGGGGCUGUAGUAGGUCCCAAGGGUUGGGCUGUUCGCCCAUUAAAGUGGUACGCGAGCUGGGUUCAGAACGUCGUGAGACAGUUCGGUCCCUAUCCGUCGCAGGCGUAGGAAAUUUGAGAAGACCUGUCCUUAGUACGAGAGGACCGGGAUGGACG
rnacentral:rRNA from 1 species